rnacentral:rRNA from 1 species
GAGUCGCUGGCGGCGGCCUACACAUGCAGUCGAGCGGAUGAAGGGAGCUUGCUCUCUGAUUCCGCGGCGGACGGGUGAGUAAUGCCUAGGAAUCUGCCUGGUAUUGGGGGACAACGUUUCGAAAGGAACGCUAAUACCGCAUACGUCCUACGGGAGAAAGCAGGGGACCUUCGGGCCUUGCGCUAUCAGAUGAGCCUAGGUCGGAUUACCUAGUUGGUGGGGUAAUGGCUCACCAAGGCGACGAUCCGUAACUGGUCUGAGAGGAUGAUCAGUCACACUGGAACUGAGACACGGUCCAGACUCCUACGGGAGGCAGCAGUGGGGAAUAUUGGACAAUGGGCGAAAGCCUGAUCCAGCCAUGCCGCGUGUGUGAAGAAGGUCUUCGGAUUGUAAAGCACUUUAAGUUGGGAGGAAGGGCAGUAAGUUAAUACCUUGCUGUUUUGACGUUACCGACACAAUAAGCACCGGCUAACUUCGUGCCAGCAGCCGCG